GGCGCGUUCGUCUAAUGGUUAGGACACGGCUCUUUCAAGGCCGCAACACGGGUUCGACUCCCGUACGCGCUA
rnacentral:tRNA from 1 species